rnacentral:rRNA from 1 species
UACGUAGGGUGCAAGCGUUAAUCGGAAUUACUGGGCGUAAAGCGUGCGCAGGCGGUUUUGUAAGCCAGAUGUGAAAUCCCCGGGCUUAACCUGGGAAUGGCAUUUGGGACUGCAAGGCUCGAGUGCGGCAGAGGAGACUGGAAUUCCUGGUGUAGCAGUGAAAUGCGUAGAUAUCAGGAGGAACACCGAUGGCGAAGGCAGCCCCCUGGGCUAGCACUGACGCUCAGGCACGAAAGCGUGGGGAGCAAACAGG